rnacentral:tRNA from 1 species
UUGGGGGUAAUCUAAUGGUAAGAUGCGAGCCUCAUAAGCUCGAUAAAGGAGUUCGAUUCUUCUCCCCCGAACAA